ensembl:lncRNA
UUUGGCGUGAGUGAGCAGGAGUAAGUAUUCUGAUUAAUUAUUUUGUAUAGUAUUUUAAAAUGUAACGCCAGUACGCCAUAUCUCUUGACGUCUCCCCGAUUGCCUGCGAGCUUCUCCUCCUGUCUGUACGGUAAUUUCUCUACUGUGCGACAGAGAGUCGAGUGGUUAUGACGCAAUCGUUAGCCUAUUUUUACAAAAACUGUUUCUACGGGGCCAUAAUGUAACAUAGAAGGUAAUGGAGCCCUUUAUACAUUGUCGUGUAUCUUUAGAAAUAAAUAAUGGACAAAUGGAGUCUUUAAACGCCUCAGAUGUAAACUUAUUCGCUGUCAAAGUGACGCAAAAAUGAAUGGGAGUCAAUGGGAUGCUAACGCAAGUGAAGUUCUGCUACAAGAUGGCGGCACGCGGCCGACUUCAACUUCCGGUCGACUUCCUUGCCCCCUGUUCAAACCUCUCCAACCGGAAACGGAAGAGCAGCCUUGCGUCAAACGCGGAAGUACGCGUGCAUAGAGCCUAUUCAUACAUAUCUUAAAAUAUGUUGGCUACAAAUUUUUCUCAGGGUUGCUGACAUGUCCAUCUAUUCAUUUUCUUAUAAUAUAAGAUAAUUCUCCGUUUCUGUGUGCAGAUUUGACAGAUGAUGUGAAGAUCUCUGAACAAGAAACACGUGCUGAUGACACACAAGAAGAGACACCGAGACCAGAGCUCAAAGACGAUGAAAAUGAACGGUUCAUUUACGUUCAAGAGACUGCCAUAAGUAAAGCGUUUGGUGCUGAUAAGAGAUUGAGAGACAGAGAGGGCAAAAAGAGCCUUGUAAUCCGUAAAACCAAUACUGAAGAUGCUGGAGUUGAAACACAUGGAUCAGAUGGAAAAGCUCCUGGAAAGGAACUGAAAGAGCAUAAAGAAGAAUCAACAGGAAAAGACGUGAAUGAAGAAACACCUUUUAUGAGCCAAAAGGAAGAGGAUGGAUCAAAUGAGUAGAUAGUGUAAGGGAAACAGGUCAAU